rnacentral:rRNA from 1 species
AAGGCGAUGAUGCAUAGCCCGAGUUGAGAGACUGAUCGGGCACAUUGGGACUGAGACACGGGCCCAAACUCCUACGGGAGGCAGCAGUAGGGGAAUCUUCCACAAUGGACGCAAAGUCUGAUGGAGCAAAACGCCGCGUGAGUGAAGAAGGGUUUCGGCUCGUAAAAGCUCUGUUGUUGGUGAAGAAGGACAGGGGUAGUAACUGACCCUUUGUUUGACGGUAAUCAAUUUAGAAAGUCACGGGCUAACUACGUGCCCAGCAGCCGCGUAAAU